AAGGGUUUGGGUCUGAGCUGUAUAGUAUGUCAAACUGCCAGUAAGCCAGCCCCUCACCCUCUGA
rnacentral:miRNA from 1 species